ensembl:lncRNA
UCUAUAGUGUCAUGAAAAUAAAUCAUAUUUCACAUUGUCAACAUUCAAAACGAUGUUUUUCUUAAUUAUUAGUCAUUUUUAUUCAAUUACUUCUCAACUUAAAGGCUCAAGAACUGUUGAAAAUAACCAGCCGUAGAUUUUAAUGAAGUCUGUCCCAGCCUCCAGCCAAAUACAAUUACAAAAAUAAUGCAAUUUAGUAAUGAGACUGAUGCGCCUAUUCAAGGGAACACAACCCACGGACUGGGGAGCACAGCGCCUCACAGGCAGUGGAGCCCUCUGCCCAGGGAUUGUGGGCCAAUGGAGCUCUAUGGAGCCUGAGAAGCAGCGAUGCAGAAACAGGCAGGAUUAGCCAGGAGGUCAGGGACUGCCUUAUAAGGCGAGCAGGUCAAUCAGCAAACAAGGAGAGAGUAUUCAUCUUAAGGUGAUUGGCUUGGGUUGCGGAUCUGCCCUUAUUUAGAACAGGGAAAUCAUCACAGGUUCUUGGCAGGUGGGGCCUGGCUGGCUGGAUAGACUGCUUUUCUGGUCCAGCGCAGCAUUUACAGGGACAGGAAAGUUAUCGAAGUUCCGAUUUGCUGACCUGGUACCUGGGGCAAGAGCGGAUCCAUCUUGGGCCUAGAAGAAGAUUAAAAGAAGCUGUCGGUGAACAACGUUUUCAUACAGUCAGUCUGGGCUGGGACAUGGAUGGGAAGCAGUGACUCUAAUGCAAAUCAUUCCUCAUCACAGGAGACUAAAGUAGGAGUUGACAGUGGAGGACAGAAGAAGCCACACCAGGCGUUGUGGCUGCCAGGUCCGUGUGGUCUUCAGGGAAGUGCAGGCUCUGAUCUGCUCCAAGCGGUGCCAGCCUUCUAGACUUUCUGUCCCCGCCAUUGGUCCAGUCAUGGGCUCAGCCUGGGAGCCCAGCUCCCUGGGCAGCCAAUGAUGUAAUCUGAUACAGUGAGCUGAGGGCAGAUGGUCCACCUCAGGAUGGAGCUGCCAAAAAGGACACUUUGGAGAGGAUGAGUUGAGACCUUACAAUUCUGUGAGGAUGUAUUGCUUUGAAAAAGACAGCAUGACAGCUCGAGUCCGAGCACUGCCACUUGGAGGAUGUGUCCUGGGAAAGUCUCUAAUCUACAUCCUCCAAUACAAUGUUGAAUAGAAAUGGCAAGAGCAGACGUCCUUGUCUUGUUCCUGGUCUUUGGGGAAAAGCAUUCAGUCUUUCAACCUGAAGUGUGAUGGUAGCUGUGGGUUUUCACAGAUGCCCUCUAUCAGGUGGAGGAAGUUCCAUUAUAUUCCUAGUGUGUGGACAGUUUUUAUCAUGAAUGGGAAUUGGAUUUUUCAAAUGAUUCAUUUAUAUCCAUUGAGAGGAUCAUGUGGUUUUUGUUAUAUAUUCAGUUAAUAUGGUUAUGAGAUUAAUUGAUUUUUGAUUGUUAAAUCAACUGUUUACAUCUGGGAUGAAUCUCACUUGACCAUGUUUAUAAUCCAUUAUGUAUGUUUCUGGAUUCAAUUUGCUAAUAUUUUCUUCAGGAUUUUUCUACCUAAACUCAUGAUUUUGUACCUACUGGUCCAUAUAUUUCUUAUUAUGACUUUGGCUUUGAUGUCAGUGUAAUGCUGGUCUCAGAGAACACAUUGGGAAGAGUUCCCAACCCCUGUAUUUUCUGAAUGAAUCAUUGUGAAGGAUAAAUAUUAUUCCUUCUUUAAAUGUUUGGUAGAUUUUCCAAUGAAACCGUCGGGGCCAGAGAUUUUCUUUGCGGGAAGAUUUUGAUUACUAAUUUAACUUCUUUGCUUAUUAAAUAUAGGUCUAUUCAGAUAUUUUACUUAUUCUUGAGCCUAUUUUGGUAAUUUGUGCCUUUAUUGGAAUUCAUCAGUUUCUUCUAAGUUAUCUAGUUUGUUGACAUAAAUUAUUUAUACUAUUUCCCUAUAAUCCUUUUUAAUUUCUGUAAGAUUGGUAGUGAUGUUCUUCCUUUUUUUCUUGACUUUGUUAAUUUGUGUCUUCUCUCAUUCUUCUUGGUACUUCUACCUUGAGGUUUGUAAAAUUUGUUGAUAUUUUCAAAGAACUGACUUUUGUGUUCAUUGAUGUUUUUCUCUUGUUUUCUGUUUUCUAUUUCAAUUAUUUCCAUUUCAAUUUUUAUUACUUCCUUUACUCGGCUUGGGCUGGGUUUAGCUUGUUUUGCUUUUUCAUGGUUGAUUUUAGAUCUUCUUUUGAUACAGCAUUUAAAGUCAUAAAUUUCCCCCUAGGCAUUGUUUUACCAACAUGUUAUAAAUUUUGAAGUAUUGUGUUUUCAUGCAUUCCUGGGUUUCAGCACGUUGCCUAUGAUGUGUCUACAUGUGGAUCUCUUUUUAUAUACACUAAUAAGUGCUUGUUUAGCUUAUUAGAUGUGUAGAUUAGUAUUUCUCAACAAAUUUGGGGAGUUGUGGCCAUUACUUUUUCAAACAGAUUUCCUUCUUCUUCCUUUUCUCUUCUUCUGUGAGUGCCAUUAUAU